CCGAGCCCACGGAGUUGCUGCCUCCAGUCGGCCCAGGCUGAAGUGAGCAGCUGCGGGGGGGGGAAAGAGGAGGAGACAGCCCUCCGUUGCUCUGCCCCGGCACCACCCAAGGGUGGGGGAGAAAAGACAGUCCCCACCCCUUCCCAGGCCCGGGCCAUUAAAGGGUCCUUGGUUAAAAGAACCUGUCCCCCUGGUAUUUCCCCUGUUGGGGGGAAACAGGCCUUUAAGAGGAGUUAUCCAAACUUCUUUAGCAUUAAGAAAGUAAUUGAUACCAAGUCACUCUGGGGUCUGGGCAGUCCCUCCAGAUGGAAAACAUUAUCUCCCAGAAAUCCAUACAGCCAGAAACUUUGGCUCCUCGGAAAGCCCUGGCAAAUCUGUGCAGCUGUCUUGGGUCCAGACUGUCCCAAGGCCAAGGUGCUAAGUAGUAGGAAACUGAGGUUGCCUGGGGGAACCUCAUAUUAGGUUGCACAUUAGGAAGGGACUGCCCCGGAGGUGGCUGUCCUGGCAGCAGCAGGGGGUGGCGGACUAAAGCUGCCUCAGCUCCGCUGAAAUGUUUCUCAUCAACUCCACGGACUGGACGCUGUCCCUGUACCCAGGGGACGUUAUUAGAAGGCAAUCAAGUGUCUGCAAAGGCUUCCGUUUUUCAGCCAUCGUCAUCGCGGCUUCUUCCUUUUAACUCAACAGAACAACAUUCUGUUCUGUCACCCGGGUUCAGAUCGCCACUCCAUACCAGGUUGUAAUUGAUAAAGACCAACGGUUCUCAUAGAAUAGAAGUAACUAUCCUAAGGGACUGAUGAGAACCAACAGCCCAGAUCCACCCUUCAUCUUGGACCCUGCUAAAGGCAUGCCUGAGCUAAUGCUUUUACAUCUGUGCUGUUUUUCAAGUGGUGCUGAGAAAAAGAUAAAGAAGUGAACAUUUUGAAGGAAACAUUUCUAGAAGAAACACUCCUAUCUCCAGAUGAUGUGUGAUUACAAAGCAUGGAGGCAAGCCAGCUGUUUUGCCAUAAUAAAGAAAGCCGUAAGAUGAAGAUGAAGUUGGGAAAAGAAAAGCAGAAUUUUAAAACAAAAUGCUGCGUCCUUAAAGGUUCCCUUCAGUUACUGAACAAAAAUCAACCAAGCUUCAGAUUCACACAUUCACAAGAGGCCAUAAGUCACCUAUGAGAAUUAAGCAACGCACAGAGGAGAUAGACUGCGGUGUAGAAAAGUCAGUGCCUGGGAGCAGUGCCUGAGAGGUUCUGAUCUCUAGACAUCUUUCUCAGAGGCUCCAUUUUGAAAUACGUCACCUGGUAAAAGUGGCACAUGCCUGUAAUCCCAGUACCUGGGAGGCAAAGGCAGGAAGAUCUCUGUGAGUUUGAGGCCAGCCUGGUCUACAAAGUGAGUCCAGGACAGCCAAAGCCACACACACACACACACACACACACACAUACACCCUGUCUCAAACAAAUAACAAACAAAAAAGUGGUUCUCCCUUCUUGCAGGGGUUGAAAAUUAAAAAGGUCUGGUACAUGUUUUCCACUUUGAAAGGGUUCCUGUAAAUGUAAAUAGUAACUACCUCUCCUCAGGUCCUAUUAAUCCGGGGUGACCUGGUUCAACUAGUGCGCUACCUGUACCACCUGCUCUACUACCGAUGGAAAGAACAGACGGCAAUGUCAAGCUGUCUUGGAAUUCCUCAGAAUCUGAGUAGAAAACGACUCAGUACUUCAGGGAUGGGUUUUUUCCAUCCAAAUCCCAUCCAUUCUUAUUACUACCAUUUAUUAUUGUUACAGAAAUGACUAGCUUAUUUUAAAGCCUAAUUUCACAAAAUUCAUAAAUGGUUUUUUUAAAACCAAUGAUUACAAAAGUUAAUGUGACAUCUUAAAAUUAAUUUACUUUUAUUGUCCAGGAUAACUUGUUAAAUUAUUUCAUAUACUAAAGCAUAGAAAUGUAAAUAUUAUUUUAUUUGAGUGAUAUGGUAAUUACAUAAGUAUUGAGAAAUCUGAUUCUUGCAAACACUUAUUAUUUAGCUAUAUCUGUAUGAAUAUGCACAACACGUUCUAAUAAUAGUAGCAAUCGCCGGUUGUGGUGGCGCACACCGGUAGGAUUUGCUGAAGGAGGCAGAGGCAGGAGGAUCACGAGUUUGAGGCCAGCCUGGGCUACACAGUAGCAAUCAUUUGCAUUUUUAAAUU